rnacentral:ncRNA from 1 species
CCAACGUGAGAUUAAAAGGGAAUCGGGUGAGAAUCCCGAACAGUUCCCGCUGCUGUGAGCCUCACAAAGCUCUACGACAUCAAGUUGUCACUGGGGUAAGUCCCUGGGAAGGCAUCGUAGAGUGAGGCAAGUCAGAAGACCUGCCAAGCAAGUU